GAUGAACGCUGGCGGCGUGCCUAAUACAUGCAAGUCGAGCGAACGGACGAGAAGCUUGCUUCUCUGAUGUUAGCGGCGGACGGGUGAGUAACACGUGGAUAACCUACCUAUAAGACUGGGAUAACUUCGGGAAACCGGAGCUAAUACCGGAUAAUAUUUUGAACCGCAUGGUUCAAAAGUGAAAGACGGUCUUGCUGUCACUUAUAGAUGGAUCCGCGCUGCAUUAGCUAGUUGGUAAGGUAACGGCUUACCAAGGCAACGAUGCAUAGCCGACCUGAGAGGGUGAUCGGCCACACUGGAACUGAGACAGGGUCCAGACUCCUACGGGAGGCAGCAGAAGGGAAUCUUCCGCAAUGGGCGAAAGCAUGACGGAGCAACGCCGCGUGAGUGAUGAAGGUCUUCGGAUCGUAAAACUCUGUUAUUAGGGAAGAACAUAUGUGUAAGUAACUGUGCACAUCUUGACGGUACCUAAUCAGAAAGCCACGGCUAACUACGUG
rnacentral:rRNA from 1 species